UGCCAGCAGCCGCGGUAAUACGGAGGGUGCAAGCGUUGUUCGGAUUCACUGGGUAUAAAGGGUGCGCAGGCGGCCUGUUAAGUCAGGGGUGAAAUAUGACGGCUCAACCGUCAAACUGCCCCUGAAACUGACAGGCUUGAGUCCGGGAGAGGAAGGUGGAAUUCCAGGUGUAGCGGUGAAAUGCGUAAAUAUCUGGAGGAACACCAGUGGCGAAGGCGGCCUUCUGGCCCGGAACUGACGCUCAGGCACGAAAGCAUGGGGAGCGAACGGGAUUAGAUACCCCGGUAGUCCAUGCCGUAAACGAUGGGUACUAGGUGUUGGAGGAUUCUACCCCUUCAGUGCCGCAGCUAAUGCAUUAAGUACCCCACCUGGGGAGUACGAUCGCAAGGUUGAAACUCAAAGAAAUUGACGG
rnacentral:rRNA from 1 species